UAUUCAGUGCGGGUUUUGAUAGCAUCGGAUUGUAUCCCCUUGAUUAUCAAGCGUCGUUUGUUUGACUUUGUUGUUGUGAGAAAUUCAGGAAUGGAAACGUUUAUUUUCAACGGAUUUUCGGGGCGUUUCAAGAAAAUAUAGAAUCAUGGCCAAAAAAUGGCAGUAACUAAGAUGCACAAUUGAAAAAUAUGAGUGGCUGGAAAAAAAUCAAGUCAUGUGCAGUGACUAGAAUGAAUACAACACAAAUUAUCAGAUUGGAAUCUUCUGUAGUAUUGAGAGUGGAUUUUUUUACAAUGGACCAGACCUCAUGAUUAAUGUACAGCUUAUUUGAUAAAAAGAUGUCAGUAGCAAAUAUUCUCUUUGUGCUGCUAUUUUAUCCAACAGUAUUUGACUGUUAUGGUUGAAAAGGACAGUAAGCAUUGUGGACUAUGUAUUGGUGAUAAAGAAAUAGAAAUUCACACAAAAAAAUAUCUCCAAAUAUUGUGAAAAAAUAUAAGAUGUUGCUAUGAGGUGUACAUAUAGGAGAAUGAAAUAAAAUUCAUGU